GUCUACGACCAUACCACGUUGAAAGCACGACAUCCCGUCCGAUCUGUCAAGUUAAGCAACGUUGGGCCUGGUUAGUACUUGGAUCGGAGACGGCCU
rnacentral:rRNA from 1 species